rnacentral:rRNA from 1 species
GGAGUCUGGGCCGUAUCUCAGUCCCAAUGUGCCCGAUCACCCUCUUAGGCCGGGUAACCAUCGUCGCCUUGGUGGGCCGUUACCUCACCAACUAGCUAAUGGUACGCGGGCCGUUCCUUCAGUGAAGCCGAAGCUCCUUUCCUCUAUGCCCUCUGACAGCACAGAGCUUAUUCGGUAUUAUCUGCUAUUUCUAACAGCUAUCCCCAGCUAAAGGGUACGUCACCCACGCGUUACUCACCAGUCCGCCACUCUAGGAAGAGAGCAAGCUCUCUUCUUGCCGUCCGACUUGCAUGCUUAAGACGCGCCGCCAGCGUUCGUU